rnacentral:tRNA from 1 species
GACCCUGUAGCGCAUUGAAAAGCGCGUUGGACUUCUACUCGAAAAAUCGUGGGUUCGAAUCCCACCUGGGAUGGCCU